CCUACGGGGUGCAGCAGUAGGGAAUCUUCCACAAUGGGCGAAAGCCUGAUGGAGCAACGCCGCGUGGGUGAAGAAGGUCUUCGGAUCGUAAAACCCUGUUGUUAGAGAAGAAAGUGCGUGAGAGUAACUGUUCACGUUUCGACGGUAUCUAACCAGAAAGCCACGGCUAACUACGUGCCAGCAGCCGCGGUAAUACGUAGGUGGCAAGUGUUAUCCGGAUUUAUUGGGCGUAAAGGGAACGCAGGCGGUCUUUUAAGUCUGAUGGGAAAGCCUUCGGCUUAACCGGAGUAGUGCAUUGGAAACUGGGAGACUUGAGUGCAGAAGAGGAGAGUGGAACUCCAUGUGUAGCGGUGAAAUGCGUAGAUAUAUGGAAGAACACCAGUGGCGAAAGCGGCUCUCUGGUCUGUAACUGACGCUGAGGUUCGAAAGCGUGGGUAGCAAACAGGAUUAGAUACCCGAGUAGUC
rnacentral:rRNA from 1 species